rnacentral:rRNA from 1 species
AAACUUUCAACAACGGAUCUCUUGGCUCUCGCAUCGAUGAAGAACGCAGCGAAAUGC